ACCAUGUGCCACAACACCUCCAGCCUUUACCACUUUCAGCCCCAAAAUUAUUCCAAGGACAGCUCACAUGGGGCAGGUGGUGCCCCAGGAGCCGCUCACAGGAAAGCUGCUGACCUGAAUUGUGGCCAGGAUGGAAAGGAAUUACAACCAUUCCUUGAGGCUCCACUCUUUGCCUGUUGAGAAGAUGCAAAGACAUCUGAUGUAUUUCCAGGAGCUUGAGGGGAAUUCUUCAGAGGUUCCUUGUACAGGCUGCUUCAGGUCUGUGUGUGAGUGGGAAUGCACAACAGCAAAUCUACUGUGGACAUUGCUCUCCUAGAUUCUUAAGUACUUUAGAUUUUAAGUAAAUGCCAUAUGAAAUUGUUAAAUUGUUUAACUUCAGCAUAAGCAAUAGUUUAACAGCUUAUGCUGUUAAACCUUUGGGCCUAAACUGUUGGUCAAGUCUGGGGCUCAGUUUUGCAAUGGGGUCUACUCUGAACCUUGUUUCCUUUUUAUCCUUGCCCUUUCCUACCCUGCCCCUUCCCCCCUCCCCAGCCUCAGUGUAGAUAAUUUUUGGAUUGAUUUUGGGUUUAGAUUGCCUGGUUUUAGAUUUUAGUGUGCUUUUACCACACAGUAAGUAGUAGAGUGAACCUUGCCAACAACUCUGUGGAACUUUCACUUCUAUACUAAACCUGCUUUUGCUGAUACCUUUGCUGGUGAUUUUUCAUAGAACACUCACUCAUGACAAGGGCCCAGGGCACACAGGCACAACCCUCUGCUCAGUGGUGCUGUGAUUCUAUGGUUCCUACCCAAAUACAGCCCAGCAAACCCAAGCCUGAAUGGGGCAACAACCCUCAACGAGCCCCAACGUUGCUCCUGGCAGGCCUGACAAGCACUUUGAAGAGGAGAGAACAACAAAACUGCUCCCACUUUUAACACCGCCUUCCAGGAUGAACACUGUCCAGCACUGGCUCAGAAUAAAGGGGGCACAGACAUCUGCAAGGACUCCACAGCUCCAGAUCCUCUGUUCAAUACUUGCAGUACAGCAUUAUGUUACCCCUCCAGGCCAAGGAGCCAGGCUGUGGUCACAGCACAGCUGAGUUUUGGGUUUUGUUUGUGGUACUUUGAAAAUGCAGGAAAACCCACCAACAGGUUUGAUAACUCACUGAGUUCUGCACACCCCUCAUGGAAUUUGGCAUGGAGGUUUAAUCCAUGCUGGGUACUGAAGGUGGUCCAAGCACUCCAUGCCAAGGUCCAUUUGCUUGCCUGGCAUUCAAGGCUUGUCCUGCUCAGUCACUGCUGGCCCCUUGGCACAUUUUAUAUGUUAGAGUGGAACAGAAGAGGGUAAUAUUAGGAUAACCAAAACGAAACAAUUAAAUAGUUCCUGUGCUGUUGAAGCAACUGCUUCCAGCAGCUUCUAUUUCUUCCUCACAUCAGCAGACUAGUGGUGUAGGUUUUUCUGGAGUGUGUUUGUCUCAUCAAGGGGGAAGAUCAGUUUGGGAGUUUAUCCUUACAUCAUCCUGGAGACAAAGCCUUCCACAUGCAUCUUGUGCUGCUUCCUCAGGUGUCCCCUCCACCCAAAAAUUAGCAUCACUCAAGAAAGGAGUGAUCAGCCAGUCCUACAUCCAUGGAAGAAGGCUGCAAGCUGCCAAGUGAGCCUUGUUACAGCAGCAGCCCCACUGAACACACAGAGCAGCUCUUCAGAGGGCACAGGAUUCACAGGAAGCACCAAAACUGAAAAAUCUUAGACUUUUUAUUGCAGGUUCAGUGUUAGUGUUUUGGAGAGCACAGCUGCAUUAGAAGCAGAUAUUGUUCCAACUUCCCUUCCCCACAAGACUCUGCCACAAACUCAGCCCCAGGCAACUCCAAAAAUCACGCCCAGUUUUGCAGUGCAGACAAGUGUUCCAGAGAGGACCAAGACCCUCACGUGAUUGGUCACUGAAGAGCAAAAAUGAUCCAAAGCUCGCAAAAUGAAAAGGCCAACACAUUAACUAGCAUUCCCUGCUCUGCUGGGACACACACAGAGCCUGUUCCCAGCUCCCUGGCCCAGGGAUGGGAGCAGCCCUGCCAAUGGGGUGCCCCAGGCUGUCCUUUCGGGAUGUUCCGCUAACUUAGUUUUGAUGAAAGUCCCUGCUCUGCUGUGCAGGAGAGGAGAGGCCACUGAGCUGGCACAGAGCUGCUGUUGGCUCAGCUCUGCCAGCAGCACAGCCUGAACAUUCCCUUCUGUGCUCUGGGGUGAGACACAGGCAGAAACAACCCCAGAGGCUGCUCUCGCUGCCCACACAGCAAUGAGCAGUCCCUGUUCCCUUCUCACAAGCUGACAGCUACUUCUGUUUAGCUUUUCUUUCUGCCCCUACAGGGCAAGAGAAAACACACUAAAAAAAAAUCAUUAAAGGAACUUAAAAAUUCAAAACCACCUCAUUUCUCCAUCUCUCUCAAUUAAGGUGUAAUUCCCCCCACUGCCAGUGGCCCCUUCUAUUGACUUGUAAAGUGCUGGUCAGGUUGAUUUUUUUUCUAUUAGAUCUCACAGCUCAAGACCCUGAAAACCUCAACACUCCUACAAAAAUAAACAGCUGUGUUAUGCCUAUGUUUUAUGGUAUUGCCUUUCCAUGCAGAUUUCCUUCUCUUGUGGAACCCAGGAGAGGGGCAGGCUCAGGUCUAGUCGUCGACGGUGAUGUUGCGGAAGAGAUAAGCCAUGGACUCGCCGUUGUGGAUCCGCCGGAUGGCCUCCGAGAGGAUCAAACUGAUAUCCACAGUCUUUAUCUUGGGGCACUGCAGCUUCUGCACCUCGUGAGGAACUGUGUUGGUCACUACCACCUGUGGAGGGCCAGAAAGGAAAGGAAGUUGUGGUGCUGGAAGGUUCACCCUCCCUGAGCAGGCAGCCUGAGGGUGAAGAAGCAGCUAACUGAAAGCACCUGAUUCAAUGAGUAAUUCCAGACAUAAGCUACGUGCCUUGGGAAGGACAUCAAUUUGUGAGUUUUGGAGCCAGCCCCCACUCUGCAGUCUGGAGAGCAGACUCACCUCA